rnacentral:lncRNA from 1 species
UUUAGUCAAGGUGCCUAUGGUCUGUGAAUUGAAAUAUAUUUGGAAACUGGUUGGUACAUUGUGAUGCUCUACUGUGUUGCCUUGAGUCAGGGGAUAACAUUAGCUCUGAUCUGACACACAGUGAAUCAGUUGGUUCAGGGACCCACCGGUGGUUAUUUCCUCCAUUCUCUAAUUUAAAAUUAAACUAGACAUGCUUAGUGACUGGAAGAAUCCCCCACAGUGGCUCCCUGACAUGCAGGCCAUUAUGGUAUGAAGUGUUAAGUGCAAGCCCCUAGAAUUUCCUCUCCCUGUCAAGAUAGUAAAUAAGAAGAUAGCGAAUCACUAUGGAAAUUGUAGAGAUGAGUGGCCCCAUAAAAGACCUGAAAGAAACAAGGGUGAUAAUACCCAUCACAUCUCUAUUUAAUUUCUCUAAUUUUGCCUGUGAAUAGGUCAGAUGUAUAUUGGAAAAUGACUGUGGGCCAUUGUAAACUUAAUCAGGUUGUGACACCAGUUGCUGUUCCAGAUGUAGUAUCUCUACAGGAGCAAAUCCAUUCAGAACAUGGUACUUGGUAAGUUGCUUUUGAUCUUGAUGACGUUUUCUCUAUACAUAUUUUAAAGACAGCUGAAAGCAGUUGCUUUUACCGGACAGGGCCAGUAAUGUAUUUUCAGUCUUGCUUUGGGGCUUUCACAAAUAGGUCAUUAAUAUGGCCCUGUCAUAAAUAGACCACAAAUCUUUCUUGUCAUGACAUUUCAUAGAACAUCACGUGUACUAACUAUGUUGAUGAAAUUGUGCACAUUGGAUAUGUUGAACAGAAAGUAGCAAUUACUUGAGAUGUCUUACUAAGAAUGAGAGGGUAAGUUCUAAUUCUGUAUCAAUCAAGGUCCAAUUAAAAGACAAAUAUCACACAGUAAUUUGAAUAGGAAGUUUAAUAUCAGGAAUUAGUAACUACGACAAGGAACUGGAGCAAUAAGAGAUAUUGGGUAGAAAUUAAGAUAAUUCUAAAGAAUAUAGGAUUAGCAGAUGUAGGGAACAGUUCCUAUCCCUAGGGCUAAGAUAGGGUAUUGUGAGAAAGCAAAUUUUCUCUGGAUUUUUUUUAGUGAUCCUAUAAAAACCUUAGUUUCCUGAGCCAUGGAAAUGCAUACACUAUCAGAGUAGAAGGUUUGGUCUCUUUUCCCCUAGGAACAUUUUACUUCUUACAGUAAGGAUUAAAUCUGAGACCAUUUGUCUCUCUAAUGGUAUAUAGCUAAUUGCUUCCAUACAAUAAGCUUCCUUUAUCUUCCCAAGAACCAAAUGGUUGCAUUUUUGGUAGGGAACCUAAGUUAGAGUAUUAUGUCUCUGCUUGUUACACUUCAAAAGGGGUGGACUGGUGCCAUGAAGAAAUUUCUAGGUUGUCAAAGCCACAGACACUUUAUUUAAUAACAAAGGAUUAGAGUAAGGAUUCUUUGCAUCCUGUUUCCAAGGAGACUCUCUCAGAAGGAGAGGAAGAAAAAUAAUCUCUCCUGUAUAAAUGGAAGACAUUUAUAGUUCUCCAUCUCUUGCAUACAGAGUGAUCCUGCCAUUCGUGUAGGAUAUAUUUUCCAUUUGGCUCUUAUCACUUUACUCUGCAGGAUUGCAAAUGUGGAGAGACUAAUGAUUCCAUGUUAUUCUGACUAUUGAUUAUGUGGUGAGCAUAAUAAGAAAUCUGCUCUGGUUCAGACACCUCAUGUAUACAUUCAAGAAAAUUUAAUAAAGAUGAAUUUAAAAACCCUACAAGUGCCCAAGAAAUAAACAAUCUUUCCUGUAUAAGGGCUAAGAUCCAGGCUUUAUUAGAGAGGUUACAGCACUGACCCACUGUAUGAGAGAGACAUUGCAAUGUACCACGCCAGGAGAACUUGGUGGAUAUCCACACUUUGGGAUUUGCCAGAAAUUUUGCCUGCUACUGUACUGGGGAAAGCUAUUCUAAGGAUGGUGUCUUACUGGAGGCACUACUAUGCAAAGUGGAUGCUAAGGAAAACUACUUAUUUCUGGGUGCUGUUGAUUGCCAUGUUCUGCAGAGGUGGAUCUUGUAGAAGCUGCCCAUGCUGGAGAAACUUAGUGCUGGCAAAGCCAAGUUGUGUUGAAGAAAACUGCCAACUAGAGCACAAUGGAACUGGGAAGGGAAGUCCCUUCUUUCUGUGGUGUGUCUACAGUGCCCUGUACUGACAAAGCUUAAUGUUGUGCCAGUUGUCAAGGGCCCAGCUCAGUUUCUUCAGAGCAAGCAAUGAAGGGAAAUUUGAGAUUGAAGAACAAUAAACUGAUAAAUGUCACACAAAGAAAGUCAUAAAAUCAAUUAUAUAUUGCUCCUUCCACUCAGGAGGGAGUAACUACUACUUUAUUAGCCCCUUCAUCAUAAGAAAAGGCAGGAGAAAGUAUGAGUCAACAGACAGAUUGUACAACAGGCAGUGAAAGACUAUGAUUCUUUUUUUGUUGUUUUGGUUUGUUUUUGGGGGGCCAUGCCUGCUGCAUUCAGAAAUUUCUGGGCCAGGGAUUGAACAUGCACCACAGCAGGGAUCCAAGCCACUGCAGUGACAACAAUGCUGGAUACUUAACUUGCUGUGCCACAGGGAACUCCCAAGAUGGUGAUUCUUGAGAGAGGAAAAACACAAAGGUUAAGCUGCAUGAUCGCCCUUGCCUUUUGCUUAAACGCUCUUUGCAAAACAUGGCAUAGGGAAGUGUUUUGCAAAGUAGAAGACAGAGUAUUACUGAGCUAAGGAGAUGAAUUGAAAUUUUAAGAUGGCAGUGUGGCUGGAAAUUGUGGGUCAGAGUAUCAGAGAAGAGGAAGUUGCACAAAAUAAGAACUCCAGAACUAUGCAUAAGUGUCUCAGUCGUUAGCAGAAUACUAAGCGAUGUGUAUGUUGAGCCAAAUAUUAUAAGGUUAGUAUAGAAAGUUGUGGGGAAAUGUGAACUAAACAGAGGUUCCGAGUGUUUACACUUGACUGUGAAACACUGGGAUCUGACCAGCUAGAGCAGAGAAGCCUAACUGAACACUCUGGACCCUCAACUGAGACCUUAGUAAGACUGUUUCUUAGGAUAGAGCCACUCUAACCCUAAAAGCUAAUGAGUCACACCCUAUGAAACAGAGAGUACAAUCAGAUCAAGCUCAAUAGGAUCCACAAGUGACCUAGUCCCAUGACAGAAUAAAGUUCAAUACUCUUUAAAGG